rnacentral:rRNA from 1 species
UGAGGAAUAUUGGUCAAUGGGCGCAAGCCUGAACCAGCCAUCCCGCGUGAAGGAAGAAUGCGCUACGCGUUGUAAACUUCUUUUCCAGGGGGAGAAUUUUCCUGUCGAGACAGGGAUUGACGGUACCCUGGGAAUAAGCAUCGGCUAACUCCGUGCCAGCAGCCGCGGUAAUACGGAGGAUGCGAGCGUUAUCCGGAUUUAUUGGGUUUAAAGGGUGCGUAGGCGGAUUGAUAAGUCAGUGGUGAAAUUCUGCAGCUUAACUGUAGACUUGCCGUGGAUACUGUUAGUCUUGAGUGUGGUCAAGGCAGGCGGAAUGUGUAAGGUAGCGGUGAAAUGCUUGGAUAUUACACAGAACACCGAUUGCGAAGGCAGCUUGCUGGGUCAUUACUGACGCUGAUGCACGAAAGCGUGGGGAUCAAACAG